AGCGAACGCUGGCGGCAGGCUUAACACAUGCAAGUCGAACGCCCCGCAAGGGGAGUGGCAGACGGGUGAGUAACGCGUGGGAAUCUACCCAGUUCUACGGAACAACAGUUGGAAACGACUGCUAAUACCGUAUACGCCCUACGGGGGAAAGAUUUAUCGGAAUUGGAUGAGCCCGCGUAAGAUUAGCUAGUUGGUGGGGUAAUGGCCUACCAAGGCGACGAUCUUUAGCUGGUCUGAGAGGAUGAUCAGCCACACUGGGACUGAGACACGGCCCAGACUCCUACGGGAGGCAGCAGUGGGGAAUAUUGGACAAUGGGCGCAAGCCUGAUCCAGCCAUGCCGCGUGAGUGAUGAAGGCCUUAGGGUUGUAAAGCUCUUUUACCGAUGAAGAUAAUGACGGUAGUCGGAGAAGAAGCCCCGGCUAACUUCGUGCCAGCAGCCGCCGUAAGAC
rnacentral:rRNA from 1 species